GCAGCGAGUCAAGAUGAGAGUUCAGCCGCGGCGGCAGCAGCAGCAGACUCAAGAAUGAACAAUCCGUCAGAAGCCAAUAAGUCAUCAAUGGAGAGUGGAGAUGCCAGCACAGGCACACAGACCAAUGGCCUGGACUUUCAGAAACAGCCCGUGCCUGUUGGAGGACCAAUCUCAACAGCCCAGGCCCAGGCUUUCCUUGGACAUCUUCACCAGGUCCAGCUUGCUGGGACAAGUUUACAGGCUGCUGCUCAGUCUUUAAAUGUACAGUCUAAAUCUAGUGAAGAGUCCGGGGAUUCGCAGCAGUCAAGCCAGCCUUCCCAGCAGCCUUCAGUGCAGUCAGCCAUUCCCCAGACCCAGUUAAUGCUGGCUGGGGGACAGAUAACUGGGCUCACUUUGACACCAGCCCAGCAACAGUUAUUACUACAGCAGGCACAAGCCCAGGCCCAACUCCUGGCUGCUGCAGUACAGCAGCACUCUGCCAGCCAACAGCACAGUGCUGCUGGGGCCACCAUCUCAGCUUCUGCUGCCGCGCCCAUGACGCAGAUCCCCCUGUCUCAGCCCAUACAGAUUGCACAGGACCUUCAACAGUUGCAACAGCUUCAGCAGCAAAAUCUCAACUUGCAACAGUUUGUGUUGGUGCACCCAACCACCAACUUGCAACCAGCACAGUUUAUCAUCUCACAGACUCCCCAGGGCCAGCAGGGUCUCCUGCAAGCGCAGAAUCUUUUAACUCAACUACCUCAGCAAAGCCAAGCCAACCUCCUGCAGCCGCAGCCAAGCAUCACACUCACCUCUCAGCCCGCCACCCCAACUCGCACAAUAGCAGCAACCCCAAUUCAAACACUUCCACAGAGCCAGACAACACCAAAGCGAAUUGAUACUCCCAGCUUGGAGGAGCCCAGUGACCUUGAGGAGCUUGAGCAAUUUGCUAAGACCUUCAAACAAAGACGAAUCAAACUUGGAUUCACUCAGGGUGAUGUUGGGCUCGCUAUGGGGAAAUUAUAUGGAAAUGAUUUCAGCCAAACCACCAUCUCUCGCUUUGAAGCCUUGAACCUCAGCUUUAAGAACAUGUGCAAGUUAAAGCCACUUUUAGAGAAGUGGCUAAAUGAUGCAGAGAACCUCUCAUCUGAUUCUACAGCAUCUAGCCCCAGUGCCCUGAAUUCACCAGGGUUGGGGGCUGAGGGCUUGAAUCGUAGGAGGAAAAAACGCACCAGCAUAGAGACCAACAUCCGUGUGGCCUUAGAGAAGAGUUUCAUGGAGAAUCAAAAGCCUACCUCGGAAGAUAUCACCUUGAUUGCUGAACAGCUCAAUAUGGAAAAGGAGGUGAUUCGUGUCUGGUUUUGUAACCGCCGCCAGAAGGAAAAAAGAAUCAACCCACCAAGCAGUGGUGGGACCAGCAGCUCACCUAUCAAAGCAAUUUUCCCCAGCCCAACCUCACUGGUGGCAACCACUCCAAGCCUUGUGACAAGCAGUACAGCGACUACCCUCACAGUCAACCCUGUCCUUCCCUUAACCAGUGCUGCAGUAACUAAUCUCUCUCUUACAGGCACUACAGACAGCACGUCCAACAACACAACCACCGUGAUUUCCACAGCACCCCCUGCUUCCUCAGCAGUCACGUCCCCCUCUUUGAGUCCCUCUCCUUCUGCCUCAGCCUCCACCUCUGAGGCCUCUAGUGCCAGCGAGACCACCACAACACAGACCACCUCCACGCCUCUCCCCUCCCCUCUUGGAGCCAGCCAGGUGAUGGUGACAGCAUCCGGUUUGCAAACAGCAGCUGCUGCUGCUCUUCAAGGAGCUGCACAGUUGCCAGCAAAUGCCAGUCUUGCUGCUAUGGCUGCUGCUGCAGGACUCAACCCAGGCCUGAUGGCACCCUCACAGUUUGCUGCUGGAGGUGCCUUACUCAGUCUCAAUCCGGGAACUCUGGGUGGUGCUCUCAGCCCAGCCCUGAUGAGCAACAGUACACUGGCAACUAUUCAAGCUCUUGCUUCUAGUGGUUCUCUUCCAAUAACGUCACUGGAUGCAACUGGGAACCUGGUAUUUGCCAAUGCAGGAGGAGCCCCCAACAUCGUGACUGCCCCUCUGUUCCUGAACCCUCAGAACCUCUCUCUGCUCACCAGCAACCCAGUAAGCUUGGUUUCUGCCGCAGCAGCCUCCACAGGGAACUCCGCACCCACAGCCAGCCUUCAUGCCUCCUCCACCUCAGCUGAGUCCAUCCAGAACUCUCUGUUCACAGUAGCCUCUGCCAGCGGGGCUGCUGCCACCACCACCACCGCCUCCAAGGCACAGUGAGCUGGGCUGCCACAGGCCUUCGUCACUGCAGGGCGAUGGGCUACCAGCUGUCUAAGAAACUGACAAGUGUGAUUGGCUUCCUCCCACCGUGUUGUGAGAAUGAGGAAGACAUGGAGAGAAGAAAAAUACACAUACAAGAAAAAAAAAAAAAAAACAAUAGAGACAGGACAACAUUUGCCUAAUUUUAUAAUAAAACAAUGUCUUUUCAGGAUUGCUUCAUGGAUUGGAGAACUUUCUAACCAAAAAUUUAAAAGGAAAAAAAAAAAAAACAGAAACAAAAAAUCAAAAACAGACAGACAAAAAUAAGUAAAAGGACUACUUAUCAUUUCCAGCAGUCAUGAUGACAAGCUAAGGGUGUUUCUAGACUACAUAAAUGAGCCCAUUGAAAAGGAAGAGCUUGUGAAAAUGGAUGAAGAUGAAUGAGGGUAAUUUAGAGAUUAAAUUCCCCCCUUUGCCAAUGUGCUAUUAUUAUACUAUCUAUACCAGAAUUUUCACAAAUGACUGGAUCACUGCAAUGAAGCUCAUCUAAGUUGUCCUUAUUGGAGUUAAAGGUUUCCAUCUGGUGUCUGAGGGUGCUUGCUUCAGUUUCUGGUGGUCUGCACUUUGAGCUGAGAGUGACUUGCCUUCUGAUUGCUUUGCUUGUGUCCACAGAAAACUUGGAUUCUGUGCGUUUGUCUGCCUGUACUGUUACGCAGAAAGGCAGUAACACAGACACAAGUGUGUACCUUUCAUUGUGAAUCAGUUGGGAGAAGGUCAUAUUAAUAUUAAAGGUCAGAAACAUUUUGGUCCCCUUUAAAUUUUUCUUGAGCUCCUUUUGUUUAUUUCCCAGAGUAUUUAAUUUUCACCUCCAAAUAAUUUCUGUUACCCUUAACUUUUCCUAAAAUCCCUCGAAAAAUCAGUGAACUGCAAGCAGGGAGCUAACAGAUGCUCAUCCACCUAUUUUUGUAUGGAGUGGGUGGUUUUUUUGUGUUGUUUUGUUUUGUUUAUUUUUUAAACUAAGCUUGAACCAAAGUCAAUUUUUAGCAAGCUGCUGUACUAAUGGACUAAUUAUAAUGUGCAGUUCAAAUACAUUGAGGAGAUAGAUGCUACUGACAAUUUCUUAUUCAGUUUUCUUGAUUAAUUUUAUGUGAAAGUUGCUGCUUAUUUUUAAUCUUUUGUAUUGGUAAAUUGUAAUAUCCUCUGGGCAGACAUUACCUUGAUUUUUAGCUAGUUUGUUUAGGUGACUGUGUAAAUAGAAUGGCUGUGUCACUUACUAAUUUCUCUCCUCCCCAUCAGCUUUUUCUUAUUAAUUUAAUCUUUUAUCUUGACUUAACGCUCUAACUUUAGUAUGUGCAUGUGAUUUUAGGACUGUCAGUACUGUUUCUGCCCCUAGCAGAGAGUCCCUCCCUUUGGAAUGAUGAAGUUAGGAGGAAGAAUUCAGGGAGAACAAUGCUAAUUACCCACCAUACAGAUUAAAAGUUAUAGCAUUAAUUUCCAAAAUUGCUACCAAAGGAAGUCUAGAGUCCCAAGAGACCUGGCCAGGGAGUUAAGAAGGACGGAGAAAGACUGUUUUGUUUUGUCCUUUGUGGUUAAAAGAAUCUUUUUCCCAAAGAAGAUUCCCCCGUAGACUUCGGUUUUAAAAAUGAUACUAAGCUGUGUCAGUCCAGUCAGCCCUCCUGUUUGUAGUGUCUAGUCAGUUUGAGAAAGGAUUGCUGCCUUUUUAUGUAGUUCAUUUGAGGAUAGAUAGACCUUAAAACCAGCAUAAAUACUGUACUGAGAAGAAAACAUCUUUAGACAAAGGUUACUUUAAUUUUUUUCCUCCCCUUUUUAAUGUAUUUAAAAUUAAGUUGUAAAAUGAAAGGUACUUUAUACAUGUAUUCAUGAAACACUACUAAACCUGCUCGUGGGUGUUCAGGCUAAACUCACCUUCCAUCACCAUCCCUAAACAUUCUGUUCCCUACCACUUCACAAACACCUUGCCUAUUUUUUACUUGAUUCCAUUUUUUUUUUUCUUUUAUGAUCUCAGAUGCUUUUUGAACUGAUUGAACUGUCUUCUAAGCUAAAGUACUCAGAGUUAAAAUGUUUAGCUGCCUUUUAUGAGGGAGUCUGGAAACUAAAGGGGUCAUUUGACUAUGAAAGAGGUGUUCAGUUGCGUUUCUGCAUUAACAAAAGAAACUCCAGAUACGUUGUUACAACUUGUUAUUUCAUUCUUAUUUUCCUCCCCUUGUCGUUUAUGUUCGCUUUAUUUCAUUCCUGAAUUUAGUUAGCACAUAGUAAGCCAAAGACUAACUUGAAAUGCAUUUUUGGGGAUACUAUAUUUGCCUGUGAUAAUGGGCCCUCCCUGGAGAGUAGUGAAUGUAAUGCUUUAAUCCUGUUUAAGCAGUGCAGUUGGGCAUAAACUUUAUUCCCUAUGUGAAUCCAAAUGACAACAGAAAGAUCUGAAAGGCUUCUCACAAGAACAGUAUUACUGUCCUAGGAAGAGUAGAGUGUUGUGUUAGUUUGAAUGUCUCUGAAGCCCUAUAGGCAGCUCUGUAGAAUGAGGAAACAUUAUUCUAUCCAUUAACUUCCUUUUAUCUGUUGUCAGAAAGGUCAGUACCAUCCUGUUGAUGUAAGUUGUUACUCCAGAAUGGAACCAAAGGAAUCUGGCUUUCAUCUUGUGUAGAACCAGCCUGUAUAUAUUUCAUAAGCUUUAUUAGAAAUUUUUUAAAGGGACAGUAUCAGUUUAAAGAUUUUGGGUGUGAUCAUCUUGCCAAUAUGUUCUACAUCAUCAUUCAUUUGUUUUAGGAAAAAAGCACAAUUAUACCUCUUUAAUGUUAUUAUGUCUGUUAUCUAUCCUUCAGUUAUUUGGGAAGAUAGGGGAAAUAAUCUCUUCAUUAUCCAGAAGCACAGGGUUUUGCUUGAUGUUACUUUAGUUCAGCUCAAUCAUUAAACAUUUAACUUGCUGGAAACGCCAGGUACAUUUGUAGAUAUAAAGAUAUUAUGUAACCAAAAAAAAAAAAAAAAAGAAGUUCUUCUUAAGCCAUGUCAUCCUCACAAAUCUUUCUUGACUAAGAGAGAAAUAAGGUCAUUGAACUUAGGCAAAGAGAUACCUAUUCCUGUUCUUCCCUGAGAUAGGAGAAAUGCUGUCCAACAGUGCAGAACACAGUUUGAUGCUGGUAGCCUGAGGUGACCCUGGCCCUGAGGAACUCACAGACUAGUCUAUGAUGUGAGCACUUGGUAAGAUGGAAGAAAGGACCUCAGCAACUCAUUAGGAACACUUGAACAGAACCUUAAUCUGGCCUCUGAAGUUGGUGAACAUAGAAUGUACUUAUUCUUCAAACUCUAUAGAACUGAAAACAUCAAAGAUGACCAAUACUAAUGGGAGGAAAAUACUAAAAGACCUGAGACCUGUAAUUAUCCACAUGGGCAGAAACUGAUGUAAUAAUUUACUCAUAACUGUUAUGAGUUUACUUUUAUUUGUGGGUAUGAACAGCAUUUGCCAUGUUAUAAAAGAGAUCCCUGGUGAUGCACAUCUUUAAUCCCAGCACUUGGGAGGCAGAGGCAGGAGGAUCUCUUGAGUUCAAAGCCAGCCUGGUCUACAGAGUGAGUUCCAGGACAGCCACAGCUAUACAGAGAAACCUUGUCUCAAAAACCAAAAGAGAGUGAGAGCCCUGGCUGUUUUGAAAAUCAUUUUCAGAUACUUGUAAAAGUAAGACUUUAUUAAUAGUUUCUUUUAAUUUGAGGAGGAAAAGUAAUUCUUUGCCAUUCCUCUGAGAAUAAGAGCCACUAUUCCAUAGGUUUUGCAUGGAUGGCACACACAGUACACACAUAGCAUGAAUUGAAAAAGUGAAAAUGAGUUGCUGUCAUUAUUAAAGGUUGAUGGAAUCCUCUUUGCCUCAUCCUCUUCAUCCAUGGAGAGUAAGUGUAAGGUUCUUCCAGAAGGGCAGGGAACCUGUUCCUCAGAAGCUGUCCAGUUUGCACCCAAUAUUUGGUAUGAUUUGUGAUCUGGGUUUUUUUUGUUUGUUUGUUUGUUUUGUUUUGUUUUGUUUGUAACCAUUGCUCUAUUCAUGAGCUAGUUCCAUAGAUUGACUCUUCUCCUGGCCUUUACUGGAAGCAGUAAGUUUGAGUGAGUCACAUGUUGAUUCAGUGAUCUGGAUCUCUCUGCCUCUUUUCCUUCCCUUUUUUCUUUUGAGUGGUGUGGUACCUUAAUCUGUGAGAAUAAUGCUCGUGGGUAUCGGCUUCUGGCACCUUCAUAAAAUACCUCAGCAUAGCUUAGCAUUGUUGCAGAACUGGCUUUAGACUGAGAAACCAAAUAAGCAUAAGAAAAAAAAAAUUUAUAAAUAGUGGAAAUAAUUCUAGCUGUAGUAUUUAGUUGAACUAAUGUUUAUUAUGACUGAUGAACAUGAUUGAUGCUGUAUGUAUUUGGGAUCCUGUUUAUAGGGUCAGGGAGGGUUGGGUUGGGAGAAAGGAGAAAUUGAUUAUGUUAGAAGGAAAAUACUGCUUGUGUGUAUUUGUUUUUCUUUAUAUCUUUCUUGCCAAAGGAAACUUGAUAUUCCCUAUGAUUGGGUUGGGGGUUUGAGGCCUUUACGAUCUGAUAUGCAGCACAAUGUGCAGAACCAUGCAGGUGAUGUGAGGUGUCCAGUAGGUUCAGGAUGCCCAGGGGCAGAUUUACAACCCUUUGUGUCUGUGGCUGUCAUGCCCCACCCCCAGACCCACCAGCCUCUCCUGGUGAUCCAUUACCUCUGUACAUAGCAAAGCUUAGGCAAAGGAAGAGUAUGUGCAUGUCCAGGUUUGCAGGUGAAAAGAGACAGAUAGAGACAUGUACCCAAGGAAUUUGGAGAGGAGUGGAGAGGUGAGUGAUGUAUCUUGAUCUAGGAAAAUUAAGGUAAAAUGAGUCAUCUCUGCCAUGUUAGUGAAUGCUGUACUAGUAGUAGCCCAACAGCUUUAAAACUUUAUUUCCUUUUCUUAUACCAGGGAUUAUUCUGUUUAGACCAAAACACAAACAAAAGAAAACUCAAACCAAGAAGUUGAGAGCUAGCCGCACACUUGGCACCUGCAAUAAGGCGUGCCGUUCAAGGAUUGGUUGAUAAGUUGGGGGAAGUGUUGCUCCUUCUUGUGGGACAUGUGAGUGAGAAAUUAUGUUAGCUUAGGGAAAAAUUAAACCUUUCUGCCCUCAUUCUGGGACAGAAUUUCUUGGCUCCCUAGUCCUAAUAUAAACUAUAUCUCAAGAACUUUUUUUUUUUUUUUUUAGAUAAAUGUCCCGUCUCACAGAACUUGAGUGGGAUUUGAUUUUGAUACCAAAGACACUGUUAUACCAUUGCUUAUUCUCAAGCUUUCCAAACAGUCAGAGGGGAUAAAGCAAAACACUGAGGUUGGAAAAGAAGAGCUUUAUCUUGUCUCUGUUCUUCCCAUUUCCUUCACUCCUUCCUUACUUCUUGGAAGUCGUUCUUUUGGUCUCUCUGGCUUUGGGAAGAGAUUGAUACUGUUCCUCCCUGCUGCUCUGUGAAAAUGAGUCAAGUUAUUCAGCCUAACAUUGAUGUUCUUGCCAAGAAAGAAACUUGGGGAGUCCAAAAAGAAAAGUAGUUGAAUUUUUAUUUUCCUUUAUCUAAUUCUUCCAAAUAAAAGUACCCAUCCAACCUGUUAGAUAACAGUAUUUAGUUAGGAAGAACGGACUACAGCCACGUGAUAGUUUCUUACUCCUGUAGUGCUGUUUUGCUCCGUGGUGUUUUUAGGAUAUGGCCUCUGGGAAGUUAAGUUCAUUAUUAGGCAUAAACAUAGACAGGGAGAAACCAAAAGGCCAACAAACGUGAUCAGGUUGCUAAACUUCAUGAAAGCUUUACUUGUUAUUCUGACAUUAUAUAGAUGUAGUGUUAAUGUUGUGUGACUUUUCAAAGCAUUAGGUAGGUUUAUAUGGAAUAGGGAUAUUGAAAAUAAGAGCACUUGAAACAAAUGCUGUGGGUACCAAUGUAUGCAUCAUAAACAUCAUUUCAACUGUGAAAAUGAAGCUCCCAGGUUCAGGGCGGGAAACAGUUUAUGAUUCUUCUGCAUCUCUGAGUCUGCCCACACUGCACAGGACUCCACCUCCCUUGUCACCUUCUGGUUCAAAUCCAGGACACUGUCAGAAACUUACAAACCCCAAACUAAUGUACUAAGGGAGGGGAGGGAGGAGCUGAGGUCUGCUGCAAAGUUUUUCAUGUUUUCUUUACUUGUUCAUCACUGUUUAAUAUAGCCACAACCUCACAAAAGCAGCUUCAAGCUUCUUUCCUAACUUGACAGUGGUUUUGAUCUCCAUCACUGUAUCCCAAGGUCUGCAGGCAGACAGCUGGCUACAGUGCUAUUUCAACAAGGAAGCGUCUGUGCAUGGGAGUUCUUUAUAUGAUCUCAUAAGAUAACAGUGGGCAGUCAAUGCCCAUUCAGACCCCGAAAAUUAUAGGAGGAAAUGAAGUGCACUUUCGCACACUGGUAAGUGUCUGUUAGGAGCACUGUAGUAGGUUGGCUGGGGGAGGUGUGUCUUAGUUUCCAUUCCUACAGGAGUCUGCAGAAGGCACAUGCUUUCUAGGUGAAGUGAGCUAGUUAGUGCUAGCCUGGUUAGGUAAGUUGCAAACAAUGUGGGAGUGGGAGUGGCAUGUCCUCCAAGACUGUGACCAUAUUACAACAUUGGCUUUCUACAAUAUGAAUGGUAAAUGGUCUCCUCUAAGACCAGAUGGCAGGAGAAAGACUUCUUUUCACUCCUUACGUCUGCUUCCAUGGGAAUGUGUGCAUUACUCAGUCCACAGGAAGGCUCACUGAGGGAGGUACCCUGUCCCCACAGUGGGCCUCAGCCAUUCCUCUCGUCUGUGGUAGUGGAGGCUAGGUGAGUAAGUGUGGGGUUCUCUGCCCACCACUUGUCCAGGAGCUGUUGUAUACCUCAUUUCUAACUCGUGACUGAGUGACUUGCUUUAACUUCCUCUCAGCCCUACAGAGUUGCCAAGUCUGCCCUCCCUCUUCUCAGCAACAUUAAACUCUGGCCUAUAGCAUCACUAGACCUGUCACCUAGGGUGGGACAACCCCUCUCCCCACCCACCUCAAGCCUCUGAAUGUCUCUUUGAAGCUACUACAAACUGAGGGCAAAUUGCAAUCUUGUGUUUCUUUUCAUUGCCAGGGAUCUUCACAGGUCUCUUAACAUGUCUCCCCCACCAUCUUGCCUUCAAGGACUGCCAGCUGGCCUCUCCCCAGUCUGCCCCUUAUUUCUAGCUGCUGGAUACACAUCAGCUUCUGUCCUUGCCUUUUCCAAGUGGGGUCAAGGCUGACAUUUCCCCUCUGAAGCCUUGGGUUUCUGUUCAUUGCCAGGAUUUGGUAGAAAAGACACCAAAGGUUCUUUUAAGCUGAUUGCCGCAUAUACAUUUCACUUGUUUCCUGUGUGACAUGACCAAAAAAUAAUUCCAAAUCUUUAAGUUUAUAUUAUUAAUAUUAUUAUAAUUAUUAUUAUUUGACAAUCUUAUAUCCAACGGGCUUUCUGGACGCUGCAUCUCCGGCCCUUUCAACGUUUUUCUUUGAAUGUAGUUCUUAACUUGCAAUUCCCAUCCCCAAAGUUGGGGAGAAAAAAGCUUAGCCAGGCCAGGUCAUAAUACUGCUGCUAUAAGCCAGGGGAGGGUGGUUUCUUUGUUUUGUUUUGUCUUUCCAUUUCCAGCCAAAACCAAAGAUUUCUUAAUGAUUGUAUAAACUCAAAACAAACAAAAAAACCAAAGAAAAGGGAAGUCUUCGGCCUCAACCCAGUCUGUGGUAUCCUGGCACUUCGAGGCAUGCCCAAGGAUAGGUGGGGACACUUCUGGUCAGCUCAAAAGGACAAGCAAGUUUCUUUCCAAGUUGAGGGUUUUGUUCAGGUGCAUGCUUAGUAUUCUUGGCCCUUACCCGCUUGGUGAGCAGAGCAUGCAUGAAAGAAAUUGGCACAUCAGAUUUUACAAAAGCCAAAAUCUCAUCACCAUCACAACUCAUGGGACCCAUGUGAUGGCAGCCAGGGUCACCCCCAGAGCUUAGCACAGAGCCUUAGAGCUGGGAGUUGCUACAGGGUGGCCACAGACUCCACAGAGUGGGGAAGCUGAAGACGCUGGCACAGGAUUGGCUGCUCUGCUGGGUGCUUUCUCCUCUGGGGCAGGGUCUCCACCCAGGGCCCUUCUAAGCCUUCUUUCUCUUUUCUGUUACUGGAACUGCUUGGAAGUGGCUGUCCUGUUUGUGAGGAAACAUGCAGAAUGAUUAUCAGACUUAUCUUAUUUGUAGUUUUGUUUCCUUUUGCAGCGCACUGUGCAACUAUGCAUUGUAUUUCAUAACCUUUGUGCUAGGUAGAUGCCUGUGACUUUUUAACUUGGGGUGGGUGGGUUAGGGAGUCGCAAAUGAAGGAAAUUUUUACAUGGAUCUUUCUAAUCUCAGUUGAUUGGGGGAGGGGGGGUUUGGUUCUAGGGUCAUACAAGCUCUAUCCCAAAGCAAAAUCCAAAUGUUAAUAAUACUAGCCUGAUGCAGAUACCAAAGACAAUUUCUUUCCUGCAGAACCUUAGACUUGUGUAUUAAGUACGAUUACCCAGCACUUGCAUUAGUCUAACCUCAGUAAUUCCAAAGCUUAGAUGUAUAUUUUGGUAUAUUUCCAGGAUAUUAAAAGAAAAAUGUCGUUUAACUUCUUGUUUGUUUCAGUGUAAUGCUCUUAAAGUCAUAGCAUGAAAUAAUUGAGCUGUCUUAUUCUUGGUAGUUUGAAAUAAUAGUAUUUUUGUAUGUUUUGGGUGUGUCUGUAUGUAUUAACAUAACAGUUUUCACUGCCUAGGUGUUGAUAAUAAAAAUGAAAGAUUCUGAGUGUACAUACUAUUCAGUAACAAUCUCCACCAGUGUCCACGUGAGCGUGGGAUCAUGACUGCCCAGCUGGGGUCCGCUUUUAAAGAGACGGUGAUUGUGUUUUUCUGAAGAUGUUUAUUUCUGUCUUUAAGAAUCUUCCCCACUUCUUUUUUCCUUCUUUUUUUUUUUUUAAAUUAAUAUUGAUUCAGGGGUGUUUUUCCACUGUUGUCAAGGGAGGAACACAAGGGGAAUUGGUACCUUGGCCUCCCAAAAUAUGUUAUUUUAUGUACUUUAAAAUGUGAGUUUGAGUUCUUCUUUGUGGAAACUUACAAUAUGAUGUACAUGAUUCUUUGCAGAAUUGCCCAGAAGCUUGAUGAAGCGAUGGCAAUUCCUGCGUAGUUACUGGGUGUCCUCUUACAUUUCUCCUUAAGAUGGCUUUGCAGUCUGGGUGGCUGUGUAGCCCCACUGCCACAGAGCAUCUGUGCCAUUUCUCCUUUGAUGGAGAUAGUUUAUCAAAAUCAGCUGGUAGCCUGGAGCACUGGCCCUUGUUAUCUGUGCCCCUGGGAAAUGUGUUUUUCUUGGUUUGGAAAACCUGAAACACAAACAGUUCGACUUCUUGGGGAUUAGCUGAUGCCUCCAGAGGCCUGGGGAAAUGGUGGAGACUAUGAGCGGUGCUGUCUCUUUAAAAAGUGCCCUUUAUGUGAUUGCCCCUCCUGGGGCUGCCAGAGGGGCUGGGGCUUGGAGAGAAUGUGUGGAUGCCAGUGAAACAGAAUGAAAUGGUGGGUUUUGUGUAGAUGCAUUUGUCUGCUGUAAUUUUUUAUAUAUAUUAAACUUACUGUAACUGUACAGUUCCAAUUUCUGUUGUAAAACAUUAAACCAUUUUCCAAGUGUUUUCA